GGUCUCGUAGUGUAGUGGUUAACACACCUGUCUUAUAUACAGGAGAUCGGAGGUUCAAUUUCUCCCGGGACUA